rnacentral:rRNA from 1 species
AACGAACGCUGGCGGCGUGCUUAACACAUGCAAGUCGAGUGCGCGUUCCGGUAGCAAUAUCGGGAUGGCGCACGGCGCACGGGUGCGUAACACGUGGGCAAUCUGCCCUUCGAUGGGGAAUAACUCCGGGAAACCGAAGCUAAUUCCGCAUAACAUUCCCUGGACUCCGGUUCGGGGAUUCAAAGCCGUAAGGCGUCGAAGGAGGAGCCCGCGCCCGAUUAGCUAGUUGGUAGGGUAACGGCCUACCAAGGCUAUGAUCGGUAGCUGGUC